UCCAAACGCUCAAAGGUAACUGGUCGUUGCUUUGUAGCAAAGACAGCGACGGUGAUAUGAAAUCAAACGGCGAAGAAUUAGGCGACCCAUAUUGUGUUUGGACUAAAGGAAUGAAACCUGAAGGUCCUGCUACAAGUCAUCCAGGUAUCAAAGAAGUUUUUAAAGAUAACAAAGCUAUCUAUAUCAGCAGAACCAUUAAAAGUAUAGUAAACUGUGAAGACCAAGGAUCUUUGUCACUCGCAUAGACGAAGGCUCAUGACAUUUGAUACAUGGAUCGUUACACGAGGUCAGAGGAAAAUUUUAUUACGACUUAAAAAUUAACUUGAAAAAAUUGUUUACAAGAACGAUUUAGGCAAGUUGUAAAAAAUGGGAAAUGACAAAGGAAUGAUGAUAAUUUGUAAUAUUGACCUCACAUUAAAAAUACAGGAUGAACAACAAACAAUUAUAAUAUAUCAUUCCAGGAGUGAUUAAUUUUCUGAGUAAAACUGACGGAUUUCAUCCUACGUUUGUAUAGUAUUGUAUAUAAAUGUGAUAUAUUUAUUUUAUAUGAUUAUUAAUUAAUUGCUUG